UACGUAGGAGACGAGCGUUGUCCGGAGUUACUGGGCGUAAAGGGUGCGCAGGUGGCGGCGCGCGUGGGGGGUGAAAUCGCCCGGCUUAACUGGGCGGGGGCCUUCCAGACGGCGUGGCUUGAGCAGCGGAGGGGGACGUGGAAUUCCGGGUGGAGCGGUGAAAUGCGUAGAGAUGUGGAGGAACACCGAUGGCGAAGGCAGCCCCCUGGGUCAAGAUUGACGCUCAUGCACGAAAGCGUGGGGAGCAAACAGG
rnacentral:rRNA from 1 species